AUCUUUGAUGCUAAAUAUACCAAAUCCUGUCUGAUCUUUGAUGCUAAGAAGAGUGAGGUCUGGUUAGUAUUCAGAUAGAGAACUGCCAAGAAAUACUAGGUCCCAAAGGCU
rnacentral:rRNA from 1 species